GUUUCUUUCUCCCGUUCUCCCUUUCUUUCUUUCAUUUAGAAAGAAAUCACACAAACCCUAGCACUGUAAGCCUACACCACCGCCGCCGCAAGGAGUGGAAUAUUGCCGCCGUCCGUCGCACUCAAAGUUCGCCAUCCGUCAUCUAGCUCCCCUCGUGCUCCAAGUCUUCAACCCCUGUUCGCUGUCACCGAUCGCGGCUGCUUCCUCGAGCUCGGCGUCCGUCGUCUUUGUCUGCUCAGCCGUCCUUCCGUCGUCGUUUGUUUGCCGUUCACGUUCACGUAUUCGUUCAGCUGUCGUCUUCGUUCGCGUUCUUCGCCGUUCACGUUCGCUCGGCGUUCACCGUUCGCGUUCACUCGCUGUUCACCGUUCGAGUUCGUGUUCGUCUGGAAGCCACGUUGCUCCGCUUCAAACUCUGCGACCAACCCGCGCGCUCCACCCAGCCGUCGAACUACUCUCUUUUGUCACCGUGAGUUCCCUAAACCCGCCACCAGACAAUACACUCACACAACACAAAUACUCUUCUUCAAACUCUGCAUCUUCUGAUUUCUAUUACAAUAAGUAAUUAUUUGACUUGGAAGUGGUUUGGAUUUUUUCAUAGACUGAAUUAAAGUUACAGUAGUUAUGUUCUCUUCUCUGUCACAUUGAAAUUAAGCUUUGAAUUCUCUUAUUUCGUUUUAAUUUCACCGCACUCAACAUGUUUGAUGAAAUGCUUUAACCAUAUUUCUGGUUGGUUUUAUAAUUUCUAGCUCUUAGAAACUUAGUAAAUUGAUUGCAUGUGAAAUUAGAAUAAUUGGAUCAACAUGUUUGAUGAAAUGCUUUAACCAUAUUAGCAUGAUGAUUCCACUUGCAUUAAUGUUCUUCUGGUAGAUUUUAAUUGUUAUUGUGAACUUGUUAAUUUGCUAAGUUCUUGUGUUCUUCUGUUACUUUUAAUUUUUUUUGUUUUUGCUGUGAUUUUCUGUUCUUGAACUUGUUAAGUUGAUAAUUUGCUAAAUUUUUGGGCUGCUGUUGUUUUAAUUUGCCAAAUUGUUAGGUUGCUGCAACAUAAUUUGUUGGAUUUUCUAUUUAGGUCAUGUUCUUGUUUAUUUGCUAAAUUGUUGUUGUGUAUUUAUUGUUUAUUUGCUGGAUAUUGGUAAUCAUUGUCUUUGAGAUUAUUUAUUAUGCAGGUUUAGUGUCAUCACUGUUUUGGAAUGUUUAGUGUGAUUAUUGGUUAAUAUUUUGUAAUGUUUGGUGCUGAAUGCUGAUUGUUGAGUUCAGAUAUGGUUGUUUAUUUUGACUUGGGUAAAGAGACUUAUGGUCAUUUUUUCCUGUCUUAUACCAAUUCAGAUGAUUAUUUUCAGAGGAUGAGCACUUAUUUCUGUAUCUUGAGAAACUGUCUUUGUGUGUUAUGAGCAUUUGGUGAAGCUUGUAUUGUACCUAUUCAAAGUUUAGUUUCACCAAAUGGUCUUCAAAGCAACUCAUCCAAAAUGCUGCUGCACAAACCCAAGUCUGUUGUCUCUUAAAGCCUGUAUGCACCUUCAUUUGGUGAAAGCCUUUCUAGCACUAGUCCACUACCAACUUUGUUAUUAAUAAUGUUAUCAAAUUUAUUUAUCCAAGUACUAUGC